AAAGGCAAAACAAGCGAUGUGGAGGCAAAUCCCUAAAAACGUUACUCAGUUCAGAUUGCAGGCUGCAACCCGCCUGCAUGAAGUCGGAAUUGCUAGUAAUCGCGGAUCAGCAUGCCGCGGUGAAUACGUUCCCGGGCCUUGUACACACCGCCCGUCACACCAUGGGAGCCGGUAAUACCCGAAGUCAGUGGUCCAACCUCGUGAGGACGCUGCCGAAGGUAGGAUUGGCGACUGGGGUGAAGUCGUAACAAGGUACC
rnacentral:rRNA from 1 species